ensembl:miRNA
UCAACAAUAUCCUGGUGCUGAGUGAGUGGCACUCAAAGACUCCAGCAUCAGUGAUUUUGUUGAAGAGGG